AUGGCGGUCGGCGGCGACGACGACAUGGAGCGGGACUUCGCCGCUAGGCUGCGCCUCGCGCCCUCCAACCCCUCCUCAGCCUCCGCCUCCGCCUCGGCCUCCCCCACGGCGGCCUCCCCUACUGCGGGCGGCGGCGGGAUCGCCUUCCGCGCGCCGCAGGAGCAGUUCACCGCCGGCGACUUCGAGCUCGGCAAGAUCUACGGCGUCGGCUCCUACUCCAAGGUGGUGAGGGCCAGGAAGAAGGACACGGGCAACGUCUACGCGCUCAAGAUCAUGGACAAGAAGUUCAUCACCAAGGAGAACAAGAUCUCCUACGUCAAGAUGGAGCGCAUCGUGCUCGACCAGCUGGAUCACCCGGGCGUCAUCAGGCUCUUCUUCACCUUCCAGGACACCUACUCCCUCUACAUGGCACUGGAGUCCUGCGAAGGCGGGGAGUUGUUCGACCAAAUCGUACGGAAAGGCCGCCUGUCUGAGGACGAGGCGCGGUUUUAUGCCGCUGAAAUUGUUGACAUUCUGGAGUAUUUGCAUAGCGUAGGCCUAAUUCAUCGGGAUGUGAAGCCAGAAAAUUUACUCCUUACUUCUGAUGGACACAUCAAGAUUGCUGAUUUUGGUAGCGUGAAGCCUACUGUGGACACUCCAAUCAAAGUCCUCCCAAAUUCAACUAAUGAGAGGGCCUGCACAUUUGUUGGAACAGCUGCAUAUGUACCACCAGAGGUCCUGAACUCUGCCCCAGCAACUUUUGGAAAUGACUUGUGGGCAUUGGGGUGCACGUUGUUUCAAAUGCUUUCUGGCUCUUCGCCAUUUAAGGAUGCCAGUGAGUGGUUGAUUUUCCAGCGAAUUAUUGCUAGGGAUCUCAGAUUUCCUGAGUUCUUUUCGGAUGAAGCAAGAGAUCUCAUUGACAAGUUGCUGGAUGUUGAUCCAACCAAACGACCAGGUGCAGGACCUGAUGGUUAUGCUUCCUUGAAGAAGCAUCCUUUCUUCAGAGGUAUUGACUGGAAAAAUAUAAGGAAGACGCGCGCACCAAAGCCCGCUGUGGAGGCAAAUGCAAAUGAGGAUGAGGAUAAUCAGGAUUCAGAUUGGCUGUCACACAUGGGAAGUGCACAUGUCAACCGAAAUGUCCCUGUUGGGAAUAAUGGUGCUGCGUCAUCUUCUGAAGUACGGUCCCAUGUAUCUAAAUUAGCUUCCAUCGACUCCUUCGACUCUAGAUGGCAGGAUUUCCUGGAGCCUGGUGAAUCUGUAGUGUUGAUAUCUAAGCUGAAGAAGAUUAAUAAGCUAUCAAAUAAGAAGGUCCAGCUGAUCCUCACCAACAAACCUCAGUUGAUCUGUGUUGACCCUGCAAAAAUGGUGACCAAGGGGAAUAUUAGUUGGUCUGCUAAUCCAAGUGAACUCAAUGUACAAGUAGGCAACUCCUCGCAUUUCAGGAUCUGCACGCCAAAAAAGGUGUUUGUAUUUGAGGAUGCAAAACAGCGUGCCUGGCAAUGGAAGAAUGCAAUUGAAGAUCUCCAGAACUGCCAAAAGAUAUGA
rnacentral:rRNA from 1 species